rnacentral:misc_RNA from 1 species
AAAACAAUUGCCUGACAUUUUGGAGCUAAAAACAACUCAAACCCUCAAUCCCUUGCUAUUUCUCGUCCCUCUAGCACUCUCAAACUUCCUUCCCUUUGACCGCACAUGUGGUCUAGUACAGCUGUGUGGCACACCAAAAGCUAGGCCAAAGUUUUUCAUAGUUUCAUGAGCAUUCUUUGGAUUUCAUGAGCAUUCUUUGGACCUCUUAGG